CUCCUACGGGAGGCAGCAGUGAGGAAUAUUGGACAAUGGGCGCAAGCCUGAUCCAGCCAUGCCGCGUGCAGGAAGAAGCAUCUAUGGUGUGUAAACUGCUUUUGUACGGGAAGAAACACUCCUACGUGUAGGAGCUUGACGGUACCGUAAGAAUAAGGAUCGGCUAACUCCGUGCCAGCAGCCGCGGUAAUACGGAGGAUCCAAGCGUUAUCCGGAAUCAUUGGGUUUAAAGGGUCCGUAGGCGGUUUAGUAAGUCAGUGGUGAAAGCCCAUCGCUCAACGAUGGAACGGCCAUUGAUACUGCUAGACUUGAAUUACUAGGAAGUAACUAGAAUAUGUAGUGUAGCGGUGAAAUGCUUAGAUAUUACAUGGAAUACCAAUUGCGAAGGCAGGUUACUACUAGUGGAUUGACGCUGAUGGACGAAAGCGUGGGGAGCGAACAGGAUUAGAUACCCUGGUAGUCCACGCCGUAAACGAUGGAUACUAGCUGUUGGGCGCAAGUUCAGUGGCUAAGCGAAAGUGAUAAGUAUCCCACCUGGGGAGUACGUUCGCAAGAAUGAAACUCAAAGGAAUUGACGGGGGCCCGCACAAGCGGUGGAGCAUGUGGUUUA
rnacentral:rRNA from 1 species